rfam:Puniceibacterium sp. IMCC21224 IMCC21224_11, whole genome shotgun sequence.
UUGGGUGACCGGGCCCCUCUGGCGAAAGUGGCGGCGCUUUCGUGAUGUCGGCACUGAAA